rnacentral:lncRNA from 1 species
UAAAACAUCUGUAUAUGUAAUAGUAAUAAGUGAUGCAGUACAAAUACAGACAACCAAAAUUUCACCUUAUUUAAGAAAAGUAGAAAUAUUUUUCUGGAUAGCAGACUGGUUUGAAUCCUAUUCCACUAAAUAUCUAAAUCUUGAUUGAUCCUAUAAAAUCACCACUUCUGGUAGUACUUUUCACCAGUAAAAGUUAAAAUAUAAUCAAAAGCUACAAAAUCGCAAAAAUUCAUUCACAUUUGAAUAUUUAAUUCAUAUUAACACAGUGCCAAACUGGAUCACACCUUACCUUAGUUUCAUCUUAGUUCCUCUUUGGAGAAAUCUACUGAAAAUCAUUUGACUCCAAAAAAGAAGAAGAUAAAACUGGUUUAUCGCUAUUUUAUGAAAUUUUCCUUUGAUCUUUCUGACUGAUAAUUUCCUUUCUCAGCACAUUAGAGUGAUAGGAAGAAUUAAUGCUAGAAACUAAGGGCACACACACUGUUGUCAAUGAAAUUAACAACAUCGUCAAAAGGUAAAAUAGCGAUAAACAGAUUAUCAUUGGUCAUCUCAACUCGAUUGCUUUUCUCACAUUCGCUGUACCGGCUCAAGGGAUAAAAUCAAUCUUGUUGAGAUAACGAACGAUAAUCUUUAAAUAUCAGCUAACAAGAGGACAAUAAAAUAUUGUAUCUCACUUUAAAAGAAAGAUAAACUAUCAUGAUCAAUUCACUUAUUUAAAAGGAAGAUAAAAACUAUUAAUCACCAAACUAAAGGGAGAUAAAAACCUUUUGUAUCAAUAAUAAAUAGCAAUAUAAAAUAUACAUACUGGUAAUACCAGUUAAC